GACUUUCUAGCUCCUACUUCCUACAAAGCUCAGUGGUAAUCAUCAGAAAAGCUCCAUAGAAGGUGGAUAGAUUGAAACUUGGAAGCUUAAAACUUGGAUAAAAGGUUGGAACUCGUGGGAAGAAAAGUAAGUAUGAUUCGUAGCUGCUGGAUGUAUAUAUGAUGAAAAUCGUUUGCCGAUGGAGAUAUAUUUUAAGUAACAGAUAACUCUUAAUAGGUUUUAUCGAUAAUGCCGCCAAGAGUACGAGGCAAGGGAAAGGGUCCAAUGAGAGGAGCUAUUCCAUAGGGCGAUGAUCAUGAUUCUAGGGCGGACCUGUGCCUUAGAGCCUAAAAACGAAGCUAGACUAGUUUAAUCAUGUUAUAAACUUUGUAUUUUCCUGUUUUGAAACAAUGGAACACUCUUGUCAAUAAAUAAAAUGUAACUUUAAUU
rnacentral:lncRNA from 1 species